rnacentral:rRNA from 1 species
CGUAGGGCGAGCGUUGUCCGGAAUGACUGGGCGUAAAGGGUACGUAGGCGGCCAGGUAAGUCAGGUGUGAAAUUCUAGGGCUCAACCCUAGAUAGCACUUGAAACUGCUUGGCUUGAGUCGAGGAGAGGAAGGUGGAAUUCCUGGUGUAGCGGUGAAAUGCGUAGAUAUCAGGAGGAAUACCAGUGGCGAAGGCGACCUUCUGGCCUUGGACUGACGCUGAGGUACGAAAGCGUGGGAGCAAACAGGAUU